AACGAACGCUGGCGGCAUGCCUAACACAUGCAAGUCGAACGAGACCUUCGGGUCUAGUGGCGCACGGGUGCGUAACGCGUGGGAACCUUCACUUAGGUUCGGCAUAACUCCCCGACAGGGGUGCUAAUACCGGAUAAUAUCUUCGGACCAAAGAUUUAUCGCCUUUGGAUGGGCCCGCGUUGGAUUAGCUAGUUGGUAGGGUAAAAGCCUACCACGGCGACGAUCCAUAGCUGGUAAGAGAGAAAGAGCAGCCACACUGGGACUGGGACGCGGCCCAGACUCCUACGGGAUGCAGCAGAGCGUAAUAUUGGACAGUGGGCGAAGGCCUGAUCCAGCAAUGCCGGGAGAGUGAUGAAGGCAGUAAGGUUGUAAAGCUCUUUUACCCGGGAAGAUAAUGACAGUACCGGGAGAAUAAGCACCGGCUAACUCCGUG
rnacentral:rRNA from 1 species